UGGAAAGAGCCUUUUGAUCAUUGAUCUUGUCUCGCUUUUCUUCUUUCGUGAGUGAGCCCUAGUCUUUAGGCUCCUCAUAACCUUGCUCCACAAUCUCCCAUAGGUCUUUUCCACCUAGGAAGGUCUUCAUUUGGAUGCUCCAUCGAUCAUAAUUAUCCUUUGUGAGGCGAGGUGCUCCACAAUCUCCCAUAGGUCUUGUACACCUAGGAAGGUCUUCAUUUGGAUGCUCCAUCGAUCAUAAUUAUUCUUUGUUGAGGCGAGGAAACGUGAUGACAUUAUUGGCCAUCAUCUUGUCAAACCAAGCUCUGAUACCAAUUUGUUGGAAAUAGGAGGCUAUAUAUA
rnacentral:lncRNA from 1 species